rnacentral:rRNA from 1 species
CCUACGGGAGGCAGCAGUGAGGAAUAUUGGUCAAUGGACGAGAGUCUGAACCAGCCAAGUCGCGUGAAGGAUGACUGCCCUAUGGAUUGUAAACUUCUUUUGUCUGGGAAUAAAAUGUCCCACGUGUGGGAUUAUGUAUGUACCCUAUGAAUAAGGAUCGGCUAACUCCGUGCCAGCAGCCGCGGUAAUACGGAGGAUCCGAGCGUUAUCCGGAUUUAUUGGGUUUAAAGGGAGCGUAGGUGGAUGGUUAAGUCAGUGGUGAAAGUUUGCGGCUCAACCGUAAAACUGCAGUUGAAACUGGCAGUCUUGAGUACACUAGAGGUGUGCGGAAUGCGUGGUGUAGCGGUGAAAUGCUUAGAUAUCACGAAGAACUCCGAUUGCGAAGGCAGCUCACUGGCCUCCAACUGACACUGAGGCACGAAAGCGUGGGUAUCAAACAGGAUUAGAUACCCGAGUAGUC